rnacentral:rRNA from 1 species
GAUGAACGCUGGCGGCGUGCCUAAUACAUGCAAGUCGAGCGAACGGACGAGAAGCUUGCUUCUCUGAUGUUAGCGGCGGACGGGUGAGUAACACGUGGAUAACCUACCUAUAAGACUGGGAUAACUUCGGGAAACCGGAGCUAAUACCGGUUAAUAUUUUGAACCGCAUGGUUCAACAGUGAAAGACGUUCUUGCUGUCACUUAUAGAUGGAUCCGCGCUGCAUUAGCUAGUUGGUAAGGUAACGGCUUACCAAGGCAACGAUGCAUAGCCGACCUGAGAGGGUGAUCGGCCACACUGGAACUGAGACACGGUCCAGACUCCUACGGGAGGCAGCAGUAGGGAAUCUUCGGCAAUGGGCGAAAGCCUGACGGAGCAACGCCGCGUGAGUGAUGAAGGUCUUCGGAUCGUAAAACUCUGUUAUUAGGGAAGAACAUAUGUGUAAGUAUCUGUGCACAUCUUGACGGUACCUAAACAGAAAGCCACGGCUAACUACGUG